CUGGGUUUCUCCUCUUCUUCGUACAAGAAACUCCGCUGCAAAAUUCCAUCCCAUUUUUCACUCAUCUUCUUCCAUUUUUUUCCUCCAUUUGAUCGCUUCGAUACGCGGCCACCUGGCCUUGAUCCAAACAUCAAGAAUCUUCUGGAUUAACAGCCAUCUAGUGGCUCUAAUUUGCUAUGAAAAACCUCAACUCAUCCUCACCUUUGAAGGAAGGGUUUGAGAUUUUGGGUUUGAUAUAAAAGCAAAAGGAAAGGCUGGAGAAGGGAGGAGGACAACAAGAGAUAAAGAGGGAGGCGGCUGCCAAAGGGAAAGGAAGGAAAAACAACAAAAAAGGAGAGAAAAUCGAGAGAAAAAGUGCAGAGAAAAAUUCUGGAAAAAGUGAGCCAAGGUUGGAAGGGUGGCUGGGUUCAAACGACAUUUUCUCCUUCAUAUUGGCUUCUUUUAGAUCGAAUCUUAGUUUCUGGAUACUCUAUGAUGCAGUAGAAGAGUUUUUACAUGGAAGGUUGCUUGAAAAAACACUUCCAGAACCUUCAAAAUCGGGCCUAAAGUCACCCAUUUCUCAACUCUUAAACUUCUGCAAUAUGGAGUGAUUUGUCUCACUUUCGGAAUCUGAACACAUUUCAUCACAAUUUUUCGCAUCUAUUCAAGUUCCCUAGCUUCC
rnacentral:lncRNA from 1 species